rnacentral:rRNA from 1 species
GGAUGCGAUCAUAACAGCACUAAAGCACCGGAUCCCAUCAAAACUCCGAAGUUAAGCGUGCUUGGGUGAGAGUAGUACUAGGAUGGGUGACCUCCUGGGAAGUCCUCGUGUUGCAUUCC